rnacentral:lncRNA from 1 species
GCGCAGGCCUGGCCGGCAGGCUUCACACUCACCAGGGCGGGGCAGGGGAGCACGCUGACGGCAGCGCGGAGCGCGAAGCAGAAAUCCCACGGCCCUGCGCGGCCGCCGUACGCACCGGAAGUCCCGAUGCCCCGCUUCCUGGUUCAUACAUAACCUUCUUUUGCCGCAACCUAAACCCCAGUUUCGCCUACGCAGGUGCUCCAAGCCUUCCAGGUUAAUCGGCCCCAUCUAGGUCCUCUUCGUUCAGCCCUGACUUUGCCUGUACCUUCAACGGGGGAGUGAGGACUUCAAUUCCGCCACCGCUUUACACCACUUCCGGAGUCCCUGGAAGCUUCCCGUUGCCAUGGCGACCGUGUACACAGCGGGUCGUCAGGCAGUCCGGAUUCCUCCUUGGAGUCGCUGCAGUUACAGAGGUCGCGAGUAGUGACUGAAGAUGGACCCACCUAUGGAGAUUCAGUCACCCUCAGACUUCCAGCCAUGACUCUCACCACCAACCACCAUUUAUUGAGCACCUGCUGUGUGCUGGGCGCUGUUCUGGACCUUGUGGGGGGAAUCACAAGAGAGAAAAGGCACACUCCUUGUCCUCACGCAGCUUGUAAUUUCAUUUGGGAGCUGAAGCCCACAUAAAUGAAGCGACAUAAGAACGGUAACAAGCAGUAUUUCAGUAAGUGCAAAUGGCAUGGCUUAGACGCGCUGUUGAGCUGUAGGCUUGUGGGAGGAGUGUAGGUCAUGGGAAAGGCUCCUUGCAGCUUGCAGACUCCAGGAAUGUUUGGUGGCAUGAGAGUCAGGAGAACCUAUCUAGGGAAGAAUAGAUAGGUGGCUGCAUGUGCAUGUUGAAAAUGUUAGCUUAUACCCAAUGGCACUGGAAUUUUGCUGGGCAGGAAGCUGGGCUGUUGGGGUUUGUGUUUGGGAGGGUUUCCCAGAGCUGUAGAAACUGAGUAAAAAGCACACCUCUCAUUUGGAGGUGCUGUCCCAACACUUGGGAAGCAAAGGCAAGAGGACUGAGAGGUCAAGGCCAGCCUGGGUUACACUGUGACACACUAUCUCAGGGAAAACAUUAUUUAAAAUCACGAACAACAAAUCACUUCUCUCUAUUCUCAGUUUCUCAGUAAUAUAAAUCAAAGUGAACUUGGAAAUGAAAUCUUCCCUUUGGUUUCCUCAAUUUGGGGUUCACAUUAGAGCUAUGUGUGAUUUUUUUUCCAAGAGCUCAAUUUUUCAGACAAAUGGUUCAACCAAGCUUCGUUCUUUUCUUACCCCAAUAUUUUUCAGAUUAAUUUUCUAAAAACAACCACAAAAAAAACCUCUAAAAGAUACAAGAGUGCUAGGGAAAGACUUCCAUGAAAUAGGUACUCAAGCGGUAUAGGAAAUGCUUACACUGUAACAGGCAAAUUUGGGGGUACUGUGUUUUUUACUUGAUUUGAGACUUGCAGUGCAUACCAUCGAUGGGUGAUGCUCUCAUUUUAUCCACAUCAUCAAAACUGUAAGCUGGAAGAGUAGCACCUUCCAUUUAAUUUAUUUCUGUAGGAUACAUAACAUCAUAUGUAUUUGUAAUGUAAUUGUAAGAGGAAAUGAUCUCAAGUUGUGUAUAGACAUGUGAAAGCCAUUAAUAGUUUUAAAAUCUAAAAUAAUUUUUGUUAGGUAACAUCGUUGCACCUCUAUUAGAAAAGUAUAUGUAAAAAUGUUACUAUUACUUAUUUGAUACGCUUUUAAUAUUUUAUUUUAGUUUAUUAAGUGUGUGCAUGUGUUUGUGUGUGUGCACACGAGCAUGUGCGCACACCCAUAUAUGCCAAAGAAUUUGUGUAGAGGUCAGAGGAUAGCUUGGGCCCUUUCUUCCACUAUCCUGGGGAUCAAACUCAGGUCAUUAAGCCUAAUGGCAAGUGUCUUUACCCACGCCAUCUUGUUGAGACUUCUAUGUCUUUUUCAUGUGUUUGUUUGACCCAGAGUCUCACUACAGCAUUGGCUAUAGACCAAGUUAGUCACAAACUCAUAGAUCCACCUGCCUCUGACUCCUAAGUGCUUGGAUUAAAGGUGUGUGCCACCACCACCCGGCCCCUUAUAUGAUUUUUAUGAAUAUUAGAAGAGGUUCUAUUUCACAUGAGAAAGUUUUCCUGUAAAGGUUUUUUUAAAAAUCCUUAAGCAUCCCUUCAAUUUGUUAGAAGACUGAAUCAUGUUCCUUUGUCUGACAUGUCUCUAACUUUUCAUAAAUUCAGUGAAUUCUUUUGCUGAUAGAUGCUUGUUUUUCCUUUUCCCUUCUCUAGCUUCUUCCCUACUCCUCUCCUGUCUCCUUCCCUCAAUAAAAGUGCAGGUUACUUUGGGGGAAGAUGCUUU